rnacentral:sRNA from 1 species
CUGGAACCUCUCGGGGUUACAGCCUUGCUGAAUUAUUCACCCUUGUCUUUUGCGUACUUCUUGUUUCCUUGGUGGGUUCGCCCACCACUAGGACAAACAUAAACCUUUUGUAAUUGCAAUCAGCGUCAGUAACAAAUUAAUAAUUACAACUUUCAACAACGGAUCUCUUGGUUCUGGCAUCGAUGAAGAACGCAGCGAAAUGCGAUAAGUAGUGUGAAUUGCAGAAUUCAGUGAAUCAUCGAAUCUUUGAACGCACAUUGCGCCCUUUGGUAUUCCAAAGGGCAUGCCUGUUCGAGCGUCAUUUGUACCCUCAAGCUUUGCUUGGUGUUGGGCGUCUUGUCUCUAGCUUUGCUGGAGACUCGCCUUAAAGUAAUUGGCAGCCGGCCUACUGGUUUCGGAGCGCAGCACAAGUCGCACUCUCUAUCAGCAAAGGUCUAGCAUCCAUUAAGCCUUUUUUUCAACUUUUGACCUCGGAUCAG